UACGUAGGUGACAAGCGUUGUCCGGAUUUACUGGGCGUAAAGAGCGCGCAGGCGGUCGAUCAAGUCGAGUGUGAAAGCCCCCGGCUCAACUGGGGAGGGUCAUUCGAUACUGAUCGACUCGAAGGCAGGAGAGGGUAGUGGAAUUCCCGGUGUAGUGGUGAAAUGCGUAGAUAUCGGGAGGAACACCAGUGACGAAGGCGACUACCUGGCCUGUUCUUGACGCUGAGGCGCGAAAGCUAGGGGAGCAAACGGG
rnacentral:rRNA from 1 species